GGGGGGGGGGGGGGGGGGGCGGGGGGGGGGGAGGGCGGGGGGGGGGGGCCGGCUGUUGUGGGGGGGUGGGGGGGCGGGCGGGGGCGUGGCGCGUGAGUGACCUGCCCUUGGCGUUGGGAUAGCUUCAGGCCCCUAGGGCUAAUACCGGAUAGGAGCUCCUGCUGCAUGGUUGGGGUUGUAAGGUGUCGGCGGUUGUGGAUAGACUCGCGGCUUUUCAGCUUGUUGGUGGGGUAGUGGCUUACCAAGGCUUUGACGGGUAGCCGGCCUGAGAGGGUGACCGGCCACAUUGGGACUGAGAUACGGCCCAGACUCCUACGGGAGGCAGCAGUGGGGAAUAUUGCACAAUGGGCGGAAGCCUGAUGCAGCAACGCCGCGUGCGGGAUGACGGCCUUCGGGUUGUAAACCGCUUUCGCCUGUGACGAAGCGUGAGUGACGGUAAUGGGUAAAGAAGCACCGGCUAACUACGUG
rnacentral:rRNA from 1 species